GCCCCCACAAUUAUUGAAGGUGUCGCCUGCCCAAUGGAUUAACCCCCCAAAGAUAAAAAAGCUUUCACAAAAAACCAAAUGGCUGCAGUAACCAUAACUGUAACAAUGUAGCACAAUCAAUCGUCACUUAAUUAGUGAAUAGUAUGAAUGGCCAAACGAAAAUCUCACUGUCUCAUAGUAUAACCAAAAAAAAUUAAAAUAACAGUUAAGAUGCUGUUUAAAAUUGUAAGACGAGAAGACCCUAUAAAGCUUAACUAUUAAUCUUAAAUAAAAUUUUAAGAAGAGAUAGUUUCAUUGGGGCGAUGGUUUUUAAAAUAAAACAAAAAUACAACAAAAAUAAUUUAAAACAUUUACUGUACAACCCAUCAGUUUAACAGUUACAAAGUAGGUUAAAUACGACCCAUUAACUUCAAGAAAAAAGUUAAUGAUUAAUAAAUAAAAGCUACUUUAGGGAUAACAGAAUAAUUUUAUUCAAAAGUCCAAAUUUAAAAUAAAGUUUAUUACCUCGAUGUUGAAUUGAGAUACCCCAGGGGUGCAAAAGCUCCUAAAGGUAGGUCUGUUCGACCAUUAAAAUCUC
rnacentral:rRNA from 1 species